CUCUCACCCCCUUUCCGAUCUUUCUUAAGAUGGGGGGCCCUGCACCGAGUCCUGAAUAACAUCAUAGCAACACAAACAACAAAGAAAGAUAUCCAUUCACACUUAAAUCUGGGCAUCAUCCAUCAUCUGUCAUAGAACAUUGUGUCACCAACGAUAACAGAAUGUAGGAACACAUGUACAUUAAAUUUCUCUGUUCAACUUACCAGGCAGUUUGAUUCCGAUGCCGCCCAUGCCCCUCAUUGGUAUCCCUGUUGGGCCUCUGACUGGCACGUGUAUGGUGGGUUUUGAAGGGGAGGGGGUCAAAGAUGGCAUCUGUAGAAGAGUACGGGGAUCCCUGGGUGGACGGGCAUGUGGAUUCUUGAGGGCAAUGCGAGACUUUUGAGCAGUGAAGUCCAAAGCGGAGGCGUCAAACUGCGAUGGUAUGAUAAACAACUGAUUUGCUGACAAGUUUUCAAAUUCAUAACAUCGUUUUAGAUGAAGCUAUCAAGCUUAAUUUCGAUAACAUAAAAAUAAGGGAAACAAAUCCAAUAAAAUAUAUGAAAGAGACUAAUGUUUGCUUUAUCUCUUACGAUUAGACAUCACAAUCGUAUGUAUUUGAUUGCAUUCUUUUAAUAGGAUACUUCAGGAUUUUCUCAAUGAGGCCCUUUAUCUACUUCCCCAGAGUCAGAUGAACUUGUGGAUACCAUUUGAAAAAAUGAGGAAGUUGUGAAUUUUGGCCUCAUUUCCAAAAUCCUGAAGUAUCCCUUUAAUAGAGAAAGUAUUAUUAUUACCUGAAGCUGAAGACUUGGGUCUACAUUUUUGGUUCCUGAUGGGGAACGGAAUCCUGCUUUUGCACCCUCCCCUCUGUUUUCCUCUGGUAAUCCUGCAUCUGUUUCCACAGUUUCCCCAGACCACCCAACCUGGGAUUUCUCUAUUAUUCUAUCCUCGAUCUCCAGUAAUUGACCCUGUGAUCCAAAAUCUGUCUGCUUCGAUAAAACAGGCCCUGUCUUCAUAACUUCCUCUGUUACCAAAGCCUCGGUCUCAUCGGUUUCCCGAAAUAAUCCUACCUCAAUUUCCAGUGAUUUGUUUGCCGUGUUGUCUUCUCCCUUCUCUUUUAACACAGCCUCUGUCGCAUCUGAAAGUUCAGCCUCUAGCAUUAUUAGAGACUUUGUAUUUUUCACUAAUUCUGUGUCUGACACAUCUGUUUUCUCUGAUAAUCCAGCAUCUACGGUCUCCUCUGAUAAUCCAGACUCUUUCUCCACAUCUGGUAUUUCUGUGUAAAUAUCUUUUAAUCCAGCCUCACUGUCCACUGAUUCUUCAGAUAAUCCAGCCUCUGAUAUUUCAAGUGAUCUGGACUCCAGUGAUUUGUCUGAUGAGUCAGUAUCCAUUUCUACUGUUUCCACCGACAGCACAGUCUCUGUUCUCACAUGUAGUAUGUCUUCUUCUAUGUUCUUCUGUAACCCAUACUUGGUCUCUACUAAAUCAGUCUCCAUCUCCUCUGAAAAUCUGUCCUCUGUCUCAUCUGUGUCCUCUGAUGAAUCAGCACCUCUUCUAUUCGUUUUUUCUAAUAGCUCUAUCUUUGGCCUAACUUCCUCUGGUAAUUCAGCUACUGUCCUCACUAAUCCAACUUCUGUCUCCACCGUAUCCCCAGCCUCAGAUUCCACUAAUUCCUCGACGUCCGUCUCCACCGAUGGCUCUGUCUCAAUCCUCUGUGUCUCUUUGUCCUUCUGUGAUCCAGACUCAGUCUCAGAUAAUUCCUCCAAUAAUUCAGACUCAAUCGCUGUUGUUUCCCAAAACAUUCUGGCCUCCGUGUCAACUAUUCCAGACUCUGUUUCCGCUGAUGGCGAUUCCUCGAUCCUCAUAUCAAGUAUUGCUGCGUCUGUCUCCUUCAUGUUUCCCUUUUCAGUCUCCAAUGUUUCCCCAGCCCCUGGCUCCACUAAUUCUUUCAUUAAUGUAGCUUUUAUAUGAUAUUUUUCCUCUGAUAAUUCAUCUUCUGUUUCGUGUGAUAGUACAACUUCCCCACAAACCAUUUCCUCAAAUAAUCCGGCCUCUAUUUCUGUCAAAUCUGGUAAUCCAGCCUCUACCAUUCCCUGUAAUUUAGUCCCAGCCUCAGAUGAUUUGUCUGAUAAUCUAUUGUCUGUUUCCAGUGACUCAUUAGAUAACACAUCCUUUGUCUCUGUGAGAAACACAGCCUCUGUAUGAAUUGAUGAUGGGUACAACGUCAUGUUCUUUGAUAAUCCUGCUUCUGUCGUCACAGUUCUUUCUGAUGAUGCCGUUUCAGUUCUCACAUCUGGUAUUUCUGCCUCAUGUUUUUUCACUAAUCCAGAUUCUGUUUCCAACAUGUCCCAAGCCUCAGAUUCCACUAAUUCCUCUGUGUUUGUCUCCAUUGACAGCACUGUCACUGUCCUCACCUCUGGUGUGUCUACCUCUGCCCCCUUUUGUAACCCUUCCUCCACAGUUUCCCUUAGUAAUCCAAAAUUGUUAUCUGCUGAUUCCUGCACUGAUCCAGACUCUGUCUCAUCUUUGUCCUCUGAUGGCACAACCCCAGUCCUCACUUCUGGUAUUUCUGCCUGUGUCUCCUUCACUGAUUCAAAUUCUGUCCCCACUGUCUCCCCUGCCUUCGACUCCAUCCAGCCCUCUCUAAACUCUGCCUUUAUCUCCUCUGUCUCUUUGUAUAAUCCAGCCUCUGUUCUCAGUGUCUCAUCUGAUAAACAAACAUGUGUCUCUGCUGCUUCCUCUGACAGUCCUAACUCAAUCUCCAUCGGUUCAUGUGAUUCAGCCUUUGUCUUCGCUAGGUCCUCUAGUAUUUGAGUAUCUGUUUCAUUCAGUAAUACAGAAUCUGUUCUCUCCGUUUCCCACAGUGAUUGCGCUGCUUUCGCGACUGUGUGCUCGUCUACUACUGUAUCAGAGGCUUUCUCAAUAUCCUCACUUUCAAAUAAUCCUUCAACAGUUUUCGGAUCUUCUUUCCCUUCCAUGAGUUCACUCCCUGGUGAAUUGUCAGAUUUAAAACUAGUUACAGUGUUCUCUACACCUAACUCUUUGGUAUCACUUUUGGUGUGUACUUCUUGUAAAUGGGUGGUGUUGACUUGAUCGUCGCCAACUUCCAGGAUCUUCGGUGCCGUAUUCUCGUCUAACUCUUUGCCAUUGUUGAUUUCAGGAAUUUCCUCUGGAGUUUCUUCACACGCUACACAUUGUGGCUCCUGAGCCACAACAAGGUCCUCACAUAGCCCAGGGGAAAUGUAUUUUGCCACGCCUCCGAUUUCCACUCUAUUGUCAACCACUGAAAUAAGUUUUCCCUCCACUUCAUUAAGGGGGUCUUCGUCUUCUUCUGAGAUCUUUUCUUCCUGUGGUUUAUUUUUCUCCACUACAACGUUUCUCUCCUGAUAAAAGAAAGUGUCCAGUCCAGUCACUUGAUCUUUCACAUCCUCUGCCUCUGUAUCCGUCUUCGUCCGAAUACUGAUUGCAACGUCUUCUAUCUUGUUACUGCCCCCGUCCUCAAACACUUUGGAUCCAUCCUCCGAUACCUUUUCUUUUCUUUCCUCUAACACUGUGCUGUCAAUUCUUUCAAUGUUGCACUCCAUUCUCUGCUCCUCUCUAACAACAGUUACCUCAUCAUUUGACACAAAGACUCUUUUGUCAUAGGCCAUUGGCAAUUCCAACUCUGCCUCUGAAACAAAGAUGUCCUGGCCUCUUCCCAAUGUUCCAUCUUCGUCCGAUAAUCCUCCACAAAGCAGUUGUGGGCUGGGGUCAUUUUCUUGAUCAAACGUCUCUAUAGUUCCUUCAUCAAACUUCAAACGAUUGUCAUCAUAUUCAUGUUUGUUAUUGUUUUCUGAGACUUGGAAAUCAUUGUACGGUCCAAAGCCCCUGUCCGAUAUCUCUUCCUGUUCUCUUCUGUCCAUCUCUUCUAUUGCUCUAGUCUCUUCCUCUCUCUCCUCCUUCCUGCUAAGUUCUUCCAUGUCUAUGCCAUUCUUCACUUCAUUACCAUCUCGACUCAUUUUGUCUUUGAUUACACACAGAUCAUUGCUAUUCUCCCCUCCCGCUGAGAAUUCUACUAUUUCUUCUACUUUCCACCCUUCUUUGUCUGUCUCCAUGAAGAGUACUGCCGUUUCUUCCUCUCCAUCUUUUUCAUUUAAUCUUACCAUGGUUUCAUCCUCUGUACUUUGCACAUCGUGUUUCAUUAAUCUGUCCUUAUUUUCCUUCUCUCCAUUCUUAUCCAAAACUGUGGCAGGUUCAGCACAGGCUGAUGUAAGGUUUGGGGACUCUAUAUCAAAAUGUAUUUCUCUAUCUCUAUUGUUUUCAUGUUCUUCUGUUUUGGUUCCUUCUUCACCACAGGGGAAUUCUUCAGUGACUUCUUCAGGGAUUUCUUCUUCCUCCUCUUUUCUUGCUGCCACUGCACCUCUUAAUCUAUUUGCUUCAGCACAGUUGUAACUGUCAGUGUGUCCUUGUGCUCCCUGGCCCUUUGACCUUUCAGAUGUCGGCUCUCUGAAUAAGAUCUGGGUCCCAGUGACUACCACUGAUUGGACCCCUUUCCCAAUACUUAACUCUUCUUUGGUAACAUGCUGGAUUGUGUCUUUAUUUUCUGUUCGGUCCACCUGCUCUUGUUUUAUAUCAUCCCCCUCCUGGGAUGCUUUGCUAUCACUCCCUCUGUUGGAUUGUCCAGUGUAUUGCACAUUUUCUCUGCCGAGGCCUGGACCAAUGAUGACAUUGCACUGUUCCCAGGCAACGACGGGUCUUGGUUUCUUAACCACAGAGCCUGUUUCAAAAGUGACCUCAGUUUCCUUUAUCUCAUUUUUCGCACCAUCUCCAUGGUCGUCUGUUUGUUGUACAGCAGUGGCUUCCUGUUUUGAGCUUGUGUCAUUGUUAAUGGGCUCUGGGCUUAGAUACCUUCCCACAACUUCCGUAAAGUAAUUCUGUGUGUGUAUGUGUGUGUGUGUGUGUGUGUGAAAGAGAGAGAACGAGAGAGAGAGAGUAUUACUCUAUGUUAAUGUUAUUUACUUCCUUGUCCAUAUAUGAUAACAUAUGAUCACAUUACAUCAAUCCAGGUACAGUGAAAUAGAGUUAAUGCAGUCAUUGUGUUUUUCUCCUCCUUGGGGAAGUUCUCAAUUCAAACUAAUUGUUCAUCAACAAAUUAUUAAGUAGUCUAAAAUAUAUCUAUUGUAAUUGUAACAAUAGGAAAUAAUAAACCAAUCAGGUAGGCUAUAAAAACAGUCUCCUGUAAUAAAUUAUUUCAGCGCAGAAACUCACCCAAACUGUCCAGAAAGUCCUCCCAGCACGAGAUAGGGGGCUUGCUGGUGAGUCCAUCUUUUGGUGUUUCUGUGGCUUUUUUCAAUAAGAUAAUAAACUUCUCUUCAGAGUAGGCUACAACAAAGUAACUGCAACCUGAGGUAGCCUACUUCUUCUUGAUAGGCCUAUUAAUUAUUUUGUCAAACGAGGACAAAAAAAAUAUUCCCAUUAGUCAAUUGUCAAAUAGACCUAUUAACUUUUACAGAGAUCUAAACGCGAGCAAAUGUAAAUGAGAAUUUUGGUAACAGCUCUUAUGUAGUUCCUGACGCUGAGAUGUCCGGUAUACGCGUCAUCGCGUUAGUGGAAACCAAGACUGUUCUCAGGGCAGGCCUGGCUGUGGUUAAAUAUGUUCGAGUCACAUCAGGGACAAUUUUAGCUAACCCUACACCUUUUCCUAACCUCAACUUAAUUAUCCUAACCUGUCACGUUAAUUAUCCUAAACUGCCAUGACAACAGUCUUGGUUUCAACUAAUGUGAUACAUGUAUACAGCAGGAAGAUGAUAACGUCGCGUUCAAAUGCAACUCUGAACUAGGAAACUCACAUGACUAGUUUAGGCAAAGAUGAUCUAUUAUAUUGACAAGAUGGUCGAGUGACUUCUCUAACAAUGGAAAUAUAUGUCCUCAAAUAUGAAAGACAGGCGAGAUCAGGUGGGACCACUCUAGCCAAUGAGAGGGCAGAUAGGCGUGUGAAGACUAGCACAACUCUAAUACAAAGUUAUUUGUUCUUCAAAGUUGUCGAAAUGCCACGUGCGUCCAUUUAUAUAAGUGCAUUUUUUAACAAACUAACCAUUACGAAACGUAUAUUUGAUCAAAUAAGCAUCAUGUAGAAUAUUAGCAAUUGCAUUUCUUCUUAACCAAAUUUGCCGCUGUCAUUGACCUCCUCCCCAAAAUAAGACGUUUAAUAUGGCGAUAACCCUCUCUCCUCUCCUCUCCGGUUUAGGCACGUCGCACACGCAUCAUUGCAGGAAGCGCAAUAGUCAGGCACUGUGGUUGCAUCAUAAUACACAUACAACCCAACGUUAGUGGUAAAACCCGGUAACGGUUCCGAUUGUUUUGACCAUGUAAUUCUCGCACGGACAAGGGAUGGAUGUGCAGGAGUCAUGGCUUUGGGUCACGGAGUUUGGGAUCCUGGGAGCCUCACCGGAUGGUCUGGUGGGCAUCACAGCAGUGGUGGAGGUCAAGUGUCCCUAUGGUGCAAGCAAGGGACCUUACUGUUUCAGUAUGAUAUGUUGGAUAAAGGAAUAAAGACACACCAAUGUCAAGUUCAAUAGUCUUGUUCAAGCAUUGUACAAAUCCCUACACGCGGAGUCCGGGGAACAGUCCGGCUAAUCGAUUACCUAUCAACUAGACUCCAUAAGACUUACCAUUGAAGAGGCAGUGAAGUCGAAGGAUUUCUAUAUCAAGGAGGGAGGGUCUUACCGCCUCCGUGAAAACCAUCCUUACUGGCACCAGGUCCAAGGUCAGCUCCACGUCACUGGAUGGGACACCUGCUUCUUUGUUGUGUGGACCACAAAAGCCUCCAUCACCAUUAGCAUGACGACCUCUUAGACUCAUAUUGCUCCUCCUGUCAGUGCUUAUUUUCAGGGAAGCCAAUGGUCCAAAAAGGUUCCACAUUGUUCAUACACACACACACACACACACACACACGGCUCCCAGAAUAUGUUAUAUUCAGUGGCGACCCGUCGUUCAGGGUCGGCACCCACCUAUUUUAAGUCCCACACUUUCAGGUAAUUUUUUUAAAUAUUGCCUGUUUUGCUUGUUAUUUUGACAUUAAUACGUGUCACAAAUUAGUUUGCAAACAAUGUAAAAAAAAAAAUGUCAUUGAGUUAAUAAAGCCCCAUACAAACAUGGUCUCUUUUUUGCUUUCUUGAGUAAGGCAGCUCUAAAAUGCAGGUGUUUCAGCCUAGCUCAGUGCUUUCUGUGGUGGUGGGGCUAGCCAGCAGAAAAUACAGAAUUUUGUGCCUGAUUGGCUCAGUUUUCUG
rnacentral:lncRNA from 1 species